rnacentral:rRNA from 1 species
CCUACGGGUGGCAGCAGUGAGGAAUAUUGGUCAAUGGACGAGAGUCUGAACCAGCCAAGUAGCGUGAAGGAUGACUGACCUAUGGGUUGUAAACUUCUUUUAUAUGGGAAUAAAAUGUUCCACGUGUGGGAUUUUGUAUGUACCAUAUGAAUAAGGAUCGGCUAACUCCGUGCCAGCAGCCGCGGUAAUACGGAGGAUCCGAGCGUUAUCCGGAUUUAUUGGGUUUAAAGGGAGCGUAGGUGGAUUUUUAAGUCAGUUGUGAAAGUUUGCGGCUCAACCGUAAAAUUGCAGUUGAAACUGGCAGUCUGGAGUACAGGAGAGGUGGGCGGAAUUCGUGGUGUAGCGGUGAAAUGCUUAGAUAUCACGAAGAACUCCGAUUGCGAAGGCAGCUCACUGGACUGCAACUGACACUGAGGCUCGAAAGUGUGGGUAUCAAACAGGAUUAGAUACCCCGGUAGUC